AUACAGAGGGUGCAAGCGUUAAUCGGAAUUACUGGGCGUAAAGCGAGCGUAGGUGGCUUGAUAAGUCAGAUGUGAAAUCCCCGGGCUUAACCUGGGAACUGCAUCUGAUACUGUUAAGCUAGAGUAGGUGAGAGGGAAGUAGAAUUUCAGGUGUAGCGGUGAAAUGCGUAGAGAUCUGAAGGAAUACCGAUGGCGAAGGCAGCUUCCUGGCAUCAUACUGACACUGAGGCUCGAAAGCGUGGGUAGCAAACAGGAUUAGAUACCCUGGUAGUCCACGCCGUAAACGAUGUCUACUAGUCGUUGGGUCCCUUGAGGACUUAGUGACGCAGCUAACGCAAUAAGUAGACCGCCUGGGGAGUACGGCCGCAAGGUUAAA
rnacentral:rRNA from 1 species